GAUGAACGCUGGCGGCGUGCCUAAUACAUGCAAGUCGAGCGAAUGGAUUAAGAGCUUGCUCUUAUGAAGUUAGCGGCGGACGGGUGAGUAACACGUGGGUAACCUGCCCAUAAGACUGGGAUAACUCCGGGAAACCGGGGCUAAUACCGGAUAACAUUUUGAACCGCAUGGUUCGAAAUUGAAAGGCGGCUUCGGCUGUCACUUAUGGAUGGACCCGGGUCGGAUUGGCUAGUUGGUGAGGUAACGGCUCACCAAGGCAACGAUGCGUAGCCGACCUGGGAGGGUGAUCGGCCACACUGGAACUGAGACACGGCCAAGACUCCUACGGGAGGCAGCAGUAGGGAAUCUUCCGCAAUGGACGAAAGUCUGACGGAGCAACGCCGCGUGAGUGAUGAAGGCUUUCGGGUCGUAAAACUCUGUUGUUAGGGAAGAACAAGUGCUAGUUGAAUAAGCUGACACCUUGACGGUACCUAACCAGAAAGCCACGGCUAACUAUGUGCCAGCAGCCGCCGUAA
rnacentral:rRNA from 1 species